UCCGCGGCUCGCGCGCCCCGCGCCGGCCACGCCGCGCCGUCGUGUCGCAUUGCUCGACGCUCACCGAGUCGCUCGCGGCGGUCGUCCGAGACUAGUGACGCAUCACCUGCGCCGCGGCUGACCGGUCGGACUGUACGGAAUAGUAGGCCUCUCCGGCCUCACGAGACGAUCGGUCACCGUGUUCGCAAAACAGCUUGCACGCUGGCGACAUGCACUUGUCACUCUACUAAUGACAUCGACAGUAUGAACUUUUUGCAAAUGUCUACAGGCGUAGGUGAAUCAGACCGUCAGGUCACCAAUGUUAGACCUUGCGUCAACUCUGCGUCAAACCUUGAGAGGUUAUCGGUGAAAUAAAAGAAAACGAACCUUUCCCCUUUCGGCCAGUCGCCUCAGCAUCUCUAUGUGCUCGGCGGAGGGCAUGAAGUAAGCCCAGCGCACAUGCGGCGGACACGACCCGUCCG